AGUGAACGCUGGCGGUAGGCCUAACACAUGCAAGUCGAACGGCAGCACAGUAAGAGCUUGCUCUUACGGGUGGCGAGUGGCGGACGGGUGAGGAAUACAUCGGAAUCUACUUUUUCGUGGGGGAUAACGUAGGGAAACUUACGCUAAUACCGCAUACGACCUACGGGUGAAAGCAGGGGAUCUUCGGACCUUGCGCGAUUGAAUGAGCCGAUGUCGUAUUAGCUAGUUGGCGGGGUAAAGGCCCACCAAGGGGACGAUCCGUGGCUGGUCUGAGAGGAUGAUCAGCCACACUGGAACUGAGGCACGGUCCAGACUCCUACGGGAGGCAGCAGUGGGGAAUAUUGGACAGUGGGCGCAAGCCUGAUCCAGCCAUACCGCGUGGGUGAAGAAGGCCUUCGGGUUGUAAAGCCCUUUUGUUGGGAAAGAAAAGCAGCAGGUUAAUACCCCGCUGUUCUGACGGUACCCAAAGAAUAAGCACCGGCUAACUUCGUG
rnacentral:rRNA from 1 species